rnacentral:rRNA from 1 species
GAUGAACGCUGGCGGCGUGCCUAAUACAUGCAAGUCGAGCGAACAGACGAGGAGCUUGCUCCUCUGACGUUAGCGGCGGACGGGUGAGUAACACGUGGAUAACCUACCUAUAAGACUGGGAUAACUUCGGGAAACCGGAGCUAAUACUGGAUAAUAUAUUGAACCGCAUGGUUCAAUAGUGAAAGACGGUUUUGCUGUCACUUAUAGAUGGAUCCGCGCCGCAUUAGCUAGUUGGUAAGGUAACGGCUUACCAAGGCAACGAUGCGUAGCCGACCUGAGAGGGUGAUCGGCCACACUGGAACUGAGACACGGUCCAGACUCCUACGGGAGGCAGCAGUAGGGAAUCUUCCGCAAUGGGCGAAAGCUUGACGGAGCAACGCCGCGUGAGUGAUGAAGGUCUUCGGAUCGUAAAACUCUGUUAUUAGGGAAGAACAAAUGUGUAAGUAACUAUGCACGUCUUGACGGUACCUAAUCAGAAAGCCACGGCUAACUACGUG